UCCUGUGGCACCUUGUAGACUAACAGACGUUUUGGAGCAUGAACUUUGGUGGGUGAAUACCCACUUCAUCAUCUCUUUGCUGCUAGUACACAGGGCUAAGUAGCUAAGAAAGGAAAUAUGACCCCUUCCAGGAACAUCAACCAGAAUUCAGACUGCAAUAAAUGUUGGGGUUUGUUCACAAGGGAGCAUUUCUCAAGCUUGCUGAGCACCAAUCUGGAUGUGAUUUGUUUUGCCACUUCAGAAAUGCUUGGCUGAUUCAGUCCUAAGGAAUUAAAGCUCCAAAGGCUGACAUACUAAAACAUAAGGCCAAAAGCAUGUUGCACGAGAGCAGUUAAAAACUGAAAGGAUGGAAAGAACCUGGCAAAAUCUAAGAUUGGAUGCAUCCUAGAAUGUUGAACCAACAGCUGAGAUGCUAGUGAUAACAUUUCACAAACCCCAGAAAUCUGGGUUUUCACUGAAUGCUGAAGACAGGAAAGAGGAUUCUGAAGAAUAAAUCCGUCCAAGUGUUUUGUUAUGAUUGAUAAAAAGAAAUCAAAAGAAAGUUCACACACAA